UUGCCAGACUCCUACGGGAGGCAGCAGUGAGGAAUAUUGGUCAAUGGGCGAGAGCCUGAACCAGCCAAGUCGCGUGAGGGAAGACGGUCCUAUGGAUUGUAAACCUCUUUUGCCGGGGAGCAAAAAGCGGUACGUGUACCGCAUCGAGAGUACCCGGAGAAAAAGCAUCGGCUAACUCCGUGCCAGCAGCCGCGGUAAUACGGAGGAUGCGAGCGUUAUCCGGAUUUAUUGGGUUUAAAGGGCGCGUAGGCGGACGCUUAAGUCAGCGGUAAAAUGGCGGGGCUCAACCUCGUCGAGCCGUUGAAACUGGGUGCCUUGAGUGGGCGAGAAGUACGCGGAAUGCGUGGUGUAGCGAUGAAAUGCAUAGAUAUCACGCAGAACUCCGAUUGCGAAGGCAGCGUACCGGCGCCCAACUGACGCUGAAGCACGAAGGCGUGGGUAUCGAACAGGAUUAGAUACCCCAGUA
rnacentral:rRNA from 1 species